GGAGCCUCCUCCUGCAGAAAGAAAAAAAGGGAAAGUGACAAAGAGAUGAGUCUCGGGAAAGAUUCCUCUAAACCAUCACAUCAGGGCAGAGGGAGGAACACACGGAAGAGCACUCACUCUCCAGGAGGCGGGGGAUGAACCAAAUCAUCUCCGGGUUCCAAGCAGUCCUUGGUGCUAGGCUUGGGGUGCCUGGACCAUCUGAGGACCACACUGGGACAUCAGACUCACUCAGCUCACCAACCUUCCACUCACCUCUCUGGGGCUCCAGAAAGCUGCUGCUGCCCUCAUCAGACCAACCUGUUGGAGAACUUCAUGGAGCCACCAUCCGGCCACUGAUGGUGAAGAGUGGACCCAUCUCCAGAUCCUUCAUGUUCCUGAGAAAGAAUCAGAGCUACCCCAUCUCUCAGGCCAGAUGAGAAGCUGCCAUGUGACAAAGAGCAGAUGAGAUGACAUAUCACAAGAGGAGUUUCCAAAUCCCACACCCUGAAUGCCUGAUUGUCUUCAUUUGACAGCAUCUUAUGCCUGAACUUAAAUUAUUUGUAAUCAGGCAGGUGCCCACCACAGACAGUGAAAUGCUUGAAGACAGAAGCUAUGAGCAGUUAUCUUUGUACCCUUAGAAACUAACACCACAAUACCUGCCACACUAGAUCUUUACCGAAUACACGAUGGGUGAAUGAAUAAAGGAAUGAAUGGAUGGUUGGAUGGUGCCUGCCCAGGGGUGAAUGCUAAGAGGAGCACUGUCAUUUGGAUCUUACAUGGCCCUGUCCAUGUUCAAGUUUACGUUCAUGGAACUUUCUAGAUGGACCCUGGCUCCUUCCUUUUCUCUUGUUUGUUUAGGGACAUGGGGAGGACACAGGGAAGGCGAGCAGUGAAUUUGAGUUCCAUCUUUGGUUCUUUCUCAAGCAUACCUAACCCCCCAUGCCCACCCCACCCAGAUCUGCCCUGAAUCUACUCACCGGAUUUGGUACAAGUUGAAGACAAAAUUAGGCCCUAGAAAGACAAUCGGAAAAGAGAGGGUUGGUACCUAUGGGGAGAGCGGCCCAUCACUCUUCUGGGAGCAUCUAGUUCUCCCUCACCCCUGUCUGGAAGGUGCGGGGUGGCUAGGCAGGGCUGCAGGAUGCCAUGGGAGGUUCCCAGUCCCUCAGCGUCUGCUUCCUGCCCCAGACCCAUGGGUACACCCCUUCUUCCCAGACAGAACCACCAGUCUUUGAGGAUAGAUCCUGCCACUGGGGACCCCUCCAUCAAGGGCACUGAUUACUCUGGGAAGGAGUCUUGAAUCCAGACUCUGUGACUUUAGCCUCACAUCCUCAUCUAUAAAAAAGAGAGACUAAAAAUUUCAUCUUCGCAUGUAAUUAAAAAAAAAAUCAUACUAGGCACAAGCGCAUUGGCACAUAGUAGGUGCUCAACAGACAUCCAUGGAAGCUGUUGAACUUAAUUGCAGAUCCGGGAGACGUUCUCUGCCUCUCGGCACUGCAGCAUGCCCUCCCAGUUCUCCUGGGUCCUAUGGGAAGGGCAGAUAUGGAUCAGAGUUGGGAGCAGCCCAGCAAAUUCCAGGACACGCCCAGUGAGGCCGAAGCAUCAGCAAGCUUAGGAGAGAGUCCCAAGAGAGGGCAGGGCAAGGGAGGCUCUAGGAGCCAGGGUAGGAGACAGCUGGACUUGGCCUGUCUAGCACAUCACCCUCAGCCUUGUGGCCCACACAGGCCUGGGAGUUGGACUCCUGUGAGCUCUGAAGGACGAGGAAGCUGACUGCUUGCUGGGGGAGGAGAAGAGCCUCCACUCCCUCAGUAAAGGCCCCACCCGCUCCCCCCACACACCUCAAGCGCUCAGCCACCCACCCAAGUCUUCAACCACUGCGGCCACCACAGGAAAUAUUUUUGCAUGACUCCGUGCUGAAGAGUUUGCAGCCCCGCCUGGCCUGGCCAAAUGCCACAGGAGAGGAGGGACUGGGCUGCGCUUGGGUGACAGGGUCCAGCGCUCACUCACCCUCCCAGCAGUACCCACGCUGGUACCACUUGGCCAGGCUGUAGCCCAGGAUGGACACAAGCAGCAACGAGAGCCCCAGGCAGAGGAGCAGGCCCAAGGUGCUGAUGGAGUCGUCCCCUGCAGAGAGACACACAUCCUUCACCCAGCUGCCCAGAGCCCUCUCGCGGCGCCGUAUGCCAACUGGCUGCAUCAUGUUCCAAAUUUCCUCUCCUCCCUCCCCACUGCCAUCAAAAUGACUGUCCCCUAAGAAUCUGGAUCCUGGCCAGCUAGUUCAGCUAAGUCAUGCUAAGAUGUGAAAGUCUGAUACCUGAUUUUUUAGAGUCAGCUUGUUUCUCCAAAGUAACAGUCCUCUGACAGUAGAGAUAAUUUGGAGCUGGGAAGCCUUCCUGAAGCUGCAGGCUUUCUACGUGUUGAAAAAGGCACUGCUGUUUGGGGAGAAGCCCAGGACGUGUCUCCUCUGCAUGAAGCAGGAAGGGCAGCCUGGAGGGCCCCCGAGAGCAGAGACACACAGAUCCUUGAUCCUCUCCCCACAAAGCCCUCGUAUGUGGUAGCAAGGUGUUAACCCCUGGGCUCUGUUUGCUGCUUAUACUUAUCACUUCUUCCCUUUUUGUGGUAUGAGCUCUUGGUUAAAUUUAUAUUUUAUUUGUAAAGGCAAACCAAGAAAAAGAGCGAAAGAGAGGGAGGGAGAGAGAGAGAGAGAGACUAGAAACGUGCUGAAGCAGAAGCAGAGCAGGAAACUAGGUUUGUAGGGAGAAGCUGACCAUGGGGGCACACGGAGACAACCCACCCCUGCUGGGGCAGGGAAGGAAGAGGCAGGGCAGCCCCACUCCUGCUGCAUGAGGGGCCAGGAGUGUGAAAGAAUCAUCUGAUUCCCCAUCUCCAUGGCUUGGUGUCUUGAAGCUCCAGAGGUGUUGCCAAGAGGCCAGAGGUGCAAGGUUAUGCACAGCCUUUGGUACAGCAGGCUUGCAUGCGAAGCCCAUGCCCAUCAUUUGCAAAAUGUGGGACCCGAGCAAACCCCCGUCCCUCGCAAGACUUCAAUUUGCUCUUAUGAAAAAGAAGCAUAAUAAUGAAUACACAUGGAGUUGUGGUGAUUAGUGGAGAUGCCAUAUAUAGAGCACUUGAGAGAGGACCUGGCAUACAGGAAGUGUUCAGUAGAUGUUAAUUACAUCAUUACUGUUGUUGUCAUUAUUAUCACCAAGUAGUGAAUUGUAUUCUUAAAUAUUUCACAAUUUCCCCCACCCUAGCCUUUCCCUCUCCCAUGCCCCUGAACCUUCUUCCCAUUAAAGCAGCCAGGUUAUUCUCUGAGAGAGUAUGACAGCCAAAUGCAGGGAGAAAGGGUCUCUCCUCCUACUUUUAGAGUCCAAAAGCCCAGACCCUUAGAGAAAUGGCAAGGAUUCGCAACAUAGACAAGAGACGAACAGAACCAAGAUUACUCUUCUCACUAUACUAGGGGAAAAUUUCCAGCCUGGGGGAGGGGAAGGGAGAAAGUGAGGUAAGAGAGAUGGGGAAAAAGCACUGGAAAACAUUGAAAAGAUGUCAAUGGGCCACAGAGAAAAAGUCCUUACUCCCCGAUCGAAGUGGAGCCCCGGGGAGGCAACAGAAUUCCCAGGUAGAGUUAUGGGAUCCGAGAGCUGGACUGAGCCCCAGAACGACAGCAGGAGCCCAGUAAGGGAGACCUUCAAGAUGGUGGAGGAGUAAGACGUGGAGAUCACCUUCCUCCCCAUAAAUACACCAGAAAUACAUCUA